rnacentral:rRNA from 1 species
GAUGAACGCUGGCGGCGUGCCUAAUACAUGCAAGUCGAGCGAACAGACGAGGAGCUUGCUCCUCUGACGUUAGCGGCGGACGGGUGAGUAACACGUGGAUAACCUACCUAUAAGACUGGGAUAACUUCGGGAAACCGGAGCUAAUACCGGAUAAUAUAUUGAACCGCAUGGUUCAAUAGUGAAAGACGGUUUUGCUGUCACUUAUAGAUGGAUCCGCGCCGCAUUAGCUAGUUGGUAAGGUAACGGCUUACCAAGGCAACGAUGCGUAGCCGACCGGAGAGGGUGGUCGGCCACACUGGAACUGAGACACGGUCCAGACUCCUACGGGAGGCAGCAGUAGGGAAUCUUCCGCAAUGGGCGAAAGCUUGACGGAGCAACGCCGCGUGAGUGAUGAAGGUCUUCGGAUCGUAAAACUCUGUUAUUAGGGAAGAACAAAUGUGUAAGUAACUAUGCACGUCUUGACGGUACCUAAUCAGAAAGCCACGGCUAACUACGUG